rnacentral:rRNA from 1 species
AGAGUUUGAUCAUGGCUCAGAUUGAACGCUGGCGGCAUGCCUUACACAUGCAAGUCGAACGGCAGCACGGGGGUAACCCUGGUGGCGAGUGGCGAACGGGUGAGUAAUACAUCGGAACGUGUCCUGGAGUGGGGGAUAGCUCGGCGAAAGCCGGAUUAAUACCGCAUACGCUCUGUGGAGGAAAGCGGGGGAUCUUCGGACCUCGCGCUCAAGGGGCGGCCGAUGGCGGAUUAGCUAGUUGGUGGGGUAAAGGCCUACCAAGGCGACGAUCCGUAGCUGGUCUGAGAGGACGACCAGCCACACUGGGACUGAGACACGGCCCAGACUCCUACGGGAGGCAGCAGUGGGGAAUUUUGGACAAUGGGGGAAACCCUGAUCCAGCAAUGCCGCGUGUGUGAAGAAGGCCUUCGGGUUGUAAAGCACUUUUGUUCGGGAAGAAAUCCUUCGAGCUAAUACCUUGAGGGGAUGACGGUACCGGAAGAAUAAGCACCGGCUAACUACGUGCCAGCAGCCGCGGUAAUACGUAGGGUGCGAGCGUUAAUCGGAAUUACUGGGCGUAAAGCGUGCGCAGGCGGUUCGCUAAGACCGAUGUGAAAUCCCCCGGGCUUAACCUGGGAACUGCAUUGGUGACUGGCGGGCUAGAGUAUGGCAGAGGGGGGUAGAAUUCCACGUGUAGCAGUGAAAUGCGUAGAGAUGUGGAGGAAUACCGAUGGCGAAGGCAGCCCCCUGGGCCAAUACUGACGCUCAUGCACGAAAGCGUGGGGAGCAAACAGGAUUAGAUACCCUAGUAGUCC